GUUUAUACUACUCGGUUACUAGCACAGUUGUACACAUAAUAAGGUUGCAACAAAAGAAAAUACUAAUACUUACCUAGUUGUUUUGCCUUUUUAUUUAUUUAAAAAUAAACACCAACAAAACUUCUUUUUCAAUUUGAUGGGCGUUUGCUAUUGAAUAAUAAAAUAUUUGCACUCACAGAACUCAACUGAGUACAGGGAUGAUGAGGAAAAGCAGUGAUGAUUGGUUUGUGGCUCAACACACUCCCACCAGUUGAAUAUUAUUUUUACGGAGCUAUUUUAUAAUUAAUUGUUUGAAAAUUUUUUAUCAAAUCUGCUACCAAAACACCAAUAAACAAUUUAACUUUCGAAAAAUUAUAAAUUCAAAAUCAAUCUAACUGUUUUUGUGCCAAAAAAAUCACUUUGAAAAUUGAAAAAUAAAUUGGAUAUAUUUU